UGUUAAAAGUUUCAUUUAAUUGUACUGUUAAAAACUCACAUAACCGAUGAAAUAACUAGUGGUGACACAUGGUAUACCCUCUCAUACUAAUGUAUAGGGACUGAUUUUUAACAGUAGAAAUAGAUGAAAGUUUUUGCA
rfam:Gossypium hirsutum cultivar TM-1 chromosome 8, whole genome shotgun sequence